AUUACGCUACACGGCGUACCGACAGUGGACGGCUUGGGUGCAUGGCAGGUUGGGAAAAAAGUACCGACUACCCAUACCUUCUUGUGCUGUGGACAAAAUCCGGAAAGCAUUUCCUUCGCCUUCUGGAGAAUACAAAGGAUUUGAAUAUGCUCAACACUACUGAAUGCGAGAUUUAUGUUGCUUAAUGGCUUCAGCUUUGCUGAUUUUGAUUUGUGGUGAGUCAAUGGGACAGGUAUUUCUUUCACUCCAGCGACAUCAAGAGCUUUGGAGAGUGUUGGAUUAAUGCGUCUGCAGUACAAAACUUCUUUCAUCAAGUCCUUAACAUAUCCUGAAAAGCAAAUCAUUAUUUAUGUUGGCUUUGCAUUGCACUUUGAGAAAAGGCUCUAACAUAUCAUGUUCACAUUUUGGGAAUACAUCACUAUGUCCCUCAUGGAUGUCACAUAUAUGAUUGAGAACUGACAACCACUUUGCCUUGACAAGUUCUUCAUCACCAUUGCUGGAAGCAGCACACCAGUAUACAUGGUUGGAAAUUGAUUGGGCCCAAUUCGACAAUAAUUUGCAACCACUUUUUUUUGAUGCUGCUAAAAUUUUCUUUUUGAUUCCUGUUGGAUUUUGAUUGUUGAUGAAAUGUGUAAAAGGUUGGUUUGUUAUGACAAUCUAUACCUUUUGCUACAUGCCAUACAUCAAAGUAGUGCUCGAUUUUUGGUCUUUGUUUUGACAUGUAGGAUUAUAUAGCUUAGUUUUUGAUAAAUGUAAACAAAUAUUGCUGACUAUAACUAUAAUA